GCGGGGGUAGCCAAGCGGCUAAGGCGGUCGCCUGCAGAGCGAUUAUUCAAGGGUUCGAGUCCCUUUCCCCGCU
rnacentral:tRNA from 1 species